GACGAACGCUGGCGGCGUGCCUAAUACAUGCAAGUCGAGCGAAUCAACAGGAGCUUGCUCCUGUUGAUUAGCGGCGGACGGGUGAGUAACACGUGGGCAACCUGCCUGUAAGACUGGGAUAACACCGGGAAACCGGUGCUAAUACCGGAUAAUCCUUUCCCUCUCAUGAGAGAAAGUUGAAAGUCGGUUUCGGCUGACACUUACAGAUGGGCCAGCGGCGCAUUAGCUAGUUGGGGAGGUAACGGCUCACCAAGGCGACGAGGCGUAGCCGACCUGAGAGGGUGAUCGGCCACACUGGGACUGAGACACGGCCCAGACUCCUACGGGAGGCAGCAGUAGGGAAUCUUCCACAAUGGACGAAAGUCUGAUGGAGCAACGCCGCGUGAGCGAUGAAGGCCUUCGGGUCGUAAAGCUCUGUUGUUAGGGAAGAACAAGUACCGGAGUAACUGCCGGUACCUUGACGGUACCUAACCAGAAAGCCACGGCUAACUACGUGCCAGCCGCCGCAGUAA
rnacentral:rRNA from 1 species